UACAAAGUAAACUAAUGGUAAGUUAUUAGGCUCAUAUCCUAAGUAUAAAAGUUCGAUUCUUUUCUUUGUAA
rnacentral:tRNA from 1 species